AUGAUAGCGUUGAACGGUCUUAGUAAUCCAAACUUCCCUGGAGAUAGAGAGCUGAUGGUUGGUGGGAAUCAGUACAAAAGUCUUGGAUGAAUUACAGCCUGGAGCUUUCUUUGUGAACAAAGAACGGUUUUUGCCGUUAUGAAAAUGAAGUGGCUAUACGUAGCAAAAAGUGUAGCAACAAGGGUGGUAACGCGAGGACCUCGUCCCUUUU
rnacentral:ncRNA from 1 species